AUAUAAUUGUAUUUGUAUUUAUGUUUUAUACUUCAAACAUGUAUUUGUAUAUUAUAAUUUGCACCAUAAUAUAUAUAUUUCAUAUAAUUCACACUUGUAUUUUAAACAACUAUUUUGUAUUUAUAAUUUAUUGUUGAGUGCACAGUAUAUUUGUGUUUUGUGGUUUCAUUUUGCUUGUUAUUGUAUUUGUAUUCUAUUUUCAUUGAUGAACUUGUAUUUUUAAAGAACUAUUUUACAUUUGUAUUUGUAAGUUGACCGUAUAAUGUAUUUGUAU
rnacentral:lncRNA from 1 species